AUGGCAAGCAUUUCUCUCGUUCUCACAAUUUGCGUCCUGGUCUUCUACGUGCCCGCCCCCUCCCUGGCGUCGCCCUCCCACGGCAAUGACUUCCUCCGCUGCCUCUCGACGGACGUCCCCAGCCAGCUCGUACAGACGCCGAGCUCGCCGUCGUUCAAGCAGCUCCUGGUGUCGUCCAUCAGGAACGCCAGGUUCGUGGCGCCGGCCACAGCCAGCCCCCCGAUCUGCAUCGUGACUCCAACCAACGCAUCGCAUGUCCAGGCCGCCGUGCGCUGCGGGCGCCGCCACGGCGUGCGCGUCCGCGUGCGCAGCGGCGGGCACGACUGCGAGGGCCUCUCGUACCGGUCGGGCAGCCCCGGCAGCGAGGCGUUCGCGGUUAUCGACCUCGCCAAGCUCCACGCCGUCCGCGUCAACCCACACGAGGCCACCGCUUGGGUCGACGCCGGGGCGGGGAUCGGGGAGCUCUACUACCAUGUCGCCACGGCUGCGCCUGGGCUGGGCUUCCCGGCUGGUGUGUGCCCGACCAUCGGCGUAGGGGGGCACUUCAGUGGAGGCGGCAUGGGCCUCAUGAUGCGCAAGUACGGUCUCUCCGCCGACAACGUGCUCGACGCCACCAUGGUCGAUGCCCAAGGGAACCUCCUGGCGGACAAGAAGGCCAUGGGGGACGACCUCUUCUGGGCCAUCCGCGGUGGUGGCGGCGGGAAUUUUGGCAUCGUGCUGUCGUGGAAGGUGAGGCUCGUGCCGGUCCCGCCGACAGUGACCUUCGUCAAAGUUGCCAGGACCAUGGAACAAGGCGCGGUCGACUCGGUGACCAAAUGGCAAACGCUCGCGCCGGCGCUCCCCGACGACCUCAGCGUACGUGUCGUUGUGCAAAACGGUGAGGCCAACUUCCAGGCCCUGUACCUCGGCAACAGCAGCGCGGUGGUGACGACGAUGGGGAGCCGGUUCCCAGAGCUCGGGGUGACGAUCGCCGACUGCAAGGAGAUGAGCUGGCUGCAGUACACGGCGUACAUAUUCUUCGGCGACGCCAUCAACAGCAAGCCUCUGGAGGCCCUUCUCCUCAACCGGUCCAUGCCCCUGGGCCGCUUCGUCAAGAACAAGUCCGACUACGUCAAGAAACCACUCACCAAGGAGACAUGGGAGAAGAUCUUCCUCUGGCCCAAUGGUACCGCCACGGGGCAGCUCGUCCUGGAGCCGCACGGCGGAAUAAUGGGCCGCAUUACCGCCGACGACAUCCCGUUCCCGCACCGGAGCAGCGUGCUCUACAACAUCCAGUACGUGGAGUUCUGGAAUGGCACAGCGCCCGGAGGCGACGUUACCCCGAAAUGGGUGGGGAGCCUGUACGACUUCAUGGCACCGUUCGUGAGCAAGAACCCGAGGGGCGCGUAUGUGAACUACCGGGACCUUGACCUUGGCACGAACAAGGUGGUCGAUGGCGUGACGAGCUAUGAAAGUGCCAAGGCGUGGGGCGAGAGUUAUUUCGGCCCGGAAAACUUUAGGAGACUCGCCGAGAUCAAGCGCAAGGUGGACGCUGGCGACUACUUCCAGAGCGAGCAGAGCAUGCCACCACUUCCCCUAAAACAGUAG
rnacentral:rRNA from 1 species